rnacentral:rRNA from 1 species
AGUGAACGCUGGCGGUAGGCCUAACACAUGCAAGUCGAACGGCAGCACAGAGGAGCUUGCUCCUUGGGUGGCGAGUGGCGGACGGGUGAGGAAUACAUCGGAAUCUACUCUGUCGUGGGGGAUAACGUAGGGAAACUUACGCUAAUACCGCAUACGACCUACGGGUGAAAGCAGGGGAUCUUCGGACCUUGCGCGAUUGAAUGAGCCGAUGUCGGCUUAGCUAGUUGGCGGGGUAAAGGCCCACCAAGGCGACGAUCCGUAGCUGGUCUGAGCGGAGGAUGAGCGACACUGGAACACAGACACGGUCCAGACUCCUACGGGAGGCAGCAGUGGGGAAUAUUGGACAAUGGGCGCAAGCCUGAUCCAGCCAUACCGCGUGGGUGAAGAAGGCCUUCGGGUUGUAAAGCCCUUUUGUUGGGAAAGAAAUCCAUCUGGUUAAUACCCGGGUGGGAUGACGGUACCCAAAGAAUAAGCACCGGCUAACUUCGUGCCAGCCGCCGCCGCCG